CCUACGUGAGGCAGCAGUGGGGAAUAUUGCACAAUGGGGGAAACCCUGAUGCAGCGACGCCGCGUGAGUGAAGAAGUAAUUCGUUAUGUAAAGCUCUAUCAGCCGGGAAGAAAAUGACGGUACCUGAGUAAGAAGCCCCGGCUAACUACGUGCCAGCAGCCGCGGUAAUACGUAGGGGGCAAGCGUUAUCCGGAUUUACUGGGUGUAAAGGGAGCGUAGACGGCAGUGCAAGUCUGGAGUGAAAGGCGGGGGCUCAACCACCGGACUGCUCUGGAAACUGUACGGCUGGAGUGCAGGAGAGGUAAGUGGAAUUCCUAGUGUAGCGGUGAAAUGCGUAGAUAUUAGGAGGAACAACAGUGGCGAAGGCGGCUUACUGGACUGUAACUGACGUUGAGGCUCGAAAGCGUGGGGAGCAAACAGGAUUAGAUACCCUGGUAGUC
rnacentral:rRNA from 1 species